UGAGUCCUACGGGGGCAGCAGUGGGGAAUAUUGCACAAUGGGGGAAACCCUGAUGCAGCGACGCCGCGUGAGCGAGGAAGUAUUUCGGUAUGUAAAGCUCUGUCAGCAGGGAAGAAAAUGACGGUACCUGACUAAGAAGCCCCGGCUAACUACGUGCCAGCAGCCGCGGUAAUACGUAGGGGGCAAGCGUUAUCCGGAUUUACUGGGUGUAAAGGGAGCGUAGACGGAAUUGCAAGUCUGAUGUGAAAAUCCGG
rnacentral:rRNA from 1 species